AAAGUCUGACGGAGCAACGCCGCGUGAACGAAGAAGGUCUUCGGAUUGUAAAGUUCUGUGAUUCGGGACGAAAGGGUUUGUGGUGAAUAAUCAUAGACAUUGACGGUACCGAAAAAGCAAGCCACGGCUAACUACGUGCCAGCAGCCGCGGUAAUACGUAGGUGGCAAGCGUUGUCCGGAAUUAUUGGGCGUAAAGCGCGCGCAGGCGGUUUCUUAAGUCCAUCUUAAAAGCGUGGGGCUCAACCCCAUGAGGGGAUGGAAACUGGGAAGCUGGAGUAUCGGAGAGGAAAGUGGAAUUCCUAGUGUAGCGGUGAAAUGCGUAGAGAUUAGGAAGAACACCGGUGGCGAAGGCGACUUUCUAGACGAAAACUGACGCUGAGGCGCGAAAGCGUGGGGAGCUAACAGGAUUAGAUACCCUGGUAGUCCACGCCGUAAACGAUGGAUACUAGGUGUAGGAGGUAUCGACCCCUCCUGUGCCGGAGUUAACGCAAUAAGUAUCCCGCCUGGGAAGUACGAUCGCAAGAUUAAAACUCCAAGGAAUUGACGGGGGCCCGCACAAGCGGUGGAGUAUGUGGUUCAAUUCGACGCAACGCGAAGAACCUACCAAGCCUGACAU
rnacentral:rRNA from 1 species